rnacentral:rRNA from 1 species
GACGAACGCUGGCGGCGUGCUUAACACAUGCAAGUCGAACGGUAAGGCCCUUCGGGGUACACGAGUGGCGAACGGGUGAGUAACACGUGGGUGAUCUGCCCUGCACUUCGGGAUAAGCCUGGGAAACUGGGUCUAAUACCGGAUAGGACCCUGGGAUGCAUGUCCUGGGGUGGAAAGCUUUUGCGGUGUGGGAUGGGCUCGCGGCCUAUCAGCUUGUUGGUGGGGUGAUGGCCUACCAAGGCGGCGACGGGUAGCCGGCCUGAGAGGGUGACCGGCCACACUGGGACUGAGAUACGGCCCAGACUCCUACGGGAGGCAGCAGUGGGGAAUAUUGCACAAUGGGCGCAAGCCUGAUGCAGCGACGCCGCGUGAGGGAUGACGGCCUUCGGGUUGUAAACCUCUUUCAGCACCGACGAAGCGCAAGUGACGGUAGGUGCAGAAGAAGGACCGGCCAACUACGUGCCAGCCGCCGCGGUAA